rnacentral:lncRNA from 1 species
CCGGUUGGCACUUGGCCCCCUCUGGCCAGCUGGUUCCCCAGAGACAACCAUCUUGCCCACCUUGUGGAAGGCCCCAUGGCCUGCCUCACCCCUCACUCCCAUUUCACAGCUCUCGUGGUGCUCUACAAGAAAAAUCUGCUUUAUAGAUGAGGAAAGACCCUUGGGGCAGACAAGACAGUCCCUGUUUGACAUAAUUCCUUUAUCUCUUCUCCCCCAGCUCUGCUGCCCCCUGCCCCAUACACGUGAUGGAGCAGAAAACGUGCUGUGUGAACCUGUGACUUCAGGGCCUGUUGACGUGGUCGUGCUUGCAUACUCUCUGGACUGGACCUCACUGUGGGAACAACAAGAUCAACAAGAGGAGCAAGAACAACAUCAAGAGUCAGGGCCCGGGGGUCCUGACGGGUACAGGACGGGUACAGACCCACACAGGAAUCCCAGAGUGUGUUCCACAGCAGGACACGCCUGCGCUGAAAGAGUGGGCAGAAAGGAGCUGACCUGGGAUUAUGAUCCAAACUCAGCUGGGCCUCCCCUCCCUGCCCCAGGAUUGUGGAGUGAGAACGUUGCAGCAGGAGAGAACAACGCAGCAAAGCACAGCAGGGGAACCGGAAAUGCUCACCUUUUGACAGGACCAAACCAAUGCACAACUCCUACGUACUGAUGGUGGUCUUACGUUUCCCUAAGUUUCUGCCGACUAAACUGUGCACACGUUCUCAGGACCUCCUGAAGCUGCGUCACAGGCGCUGAUCAAAGAACACAACCAAGAGUUUGGCCUUUUCUUCAGCACUGGGAAUUGUGAUCCAAAGCUUUUCCUGAUGAGGCACAAAGUUGGAGAAACAAAACGCAAACUAAGCAACAAUGAAACAGAACAGAGUGAAUCUGCUGUAGCUCAAGAGAGGACGUAGCUGCCCCCACCCCGCAUCCCUGGGCUCGGGUUUGCCUUGCUGACCUCUGCUGCCACCUGGU